AGGAGUGGGAUGUGGACUCGAAC
rnacentral:siRNA from 1 species